UACGUAGGUGGCAAGCGUUGUCCGGAUUUACUGGGCGUAAAGAGCGCGCAGGCGGUCGUCCAAGUCGCGUGUGAAAGCCCCCGGCUCAACUGGGGAGGGUCACGCGAUACUGGUCGACUCGAAGGCAGGAGAGGGUAGUGGAAUUCCCGGUGUAGUGGUGAAAUGCGUAGAUAUCAGGAGGAACACCGGUGGCGAAGGCGGCUAUCUGGACAGAGUCUGACGCUGAGGCGCGAAAGCUAGGGGAGCAAACAGG
rnacentral:rRNA from 1 species